ACCUUCUCAGGGUGGCACCUGGAGAGUUUCCAAUACUCUACCAGUUUUGACUACAGGAGGGAGAGUCAAGCAGGGGCCUACCCAUUCCACUCUUGGCUUGGGCUGUGGCUAGCAAAUGGAAGGCAAUCUGCUACAAGU